rnacentral:rRNA from 1 species
UGGGGAAUAUUGCACAAUGGGCGCAAGCCUGAUGCAGCCAUGCCGCGUGUGUGAAGAAGGCCUUCGGGUUGUAAAGCACUUUCAGCGGGGAGGAAGGCGUUAAGGUUAAUAACCUUGGCGAUUGACGUUACCCGCAGAAGAAGCACCGGCUAACUCCGUGCCAGCAGCCGCGGUAAUACGGAGGGUGCAAGCGUUAAUCGGAAUUACUGGGCGUAAAGCGCACGCAGGCGGUCUGUCAAGUCGGAUGUGAAAUCCCCGGGCUCAACCUGGGAACUGCAUUCGAAACUGGCAGGCUAGAGUUUUGUAGAGGGGGGUAGAAUUCCAGGUGUAGCGGUGAAAUGCGUAGAGAUCUGGAGGAAUACCGGUGGCGAAGGCGGCCCCCUGGACAAAGACUGACGCUCAGGUGCGAAAGCGUGGGGAGCAAACAGG